CAAGAAGUAGCUUAAAACUAAAGCAUUCGCCUUACACACGAAAAAUGUUUCACCAACCAUCUUGC
rnacentral:tRNA from 1 species